GCAUCGAUGAAGACGCAGCGAAAUGCGAUACUUGGUGUGAAUUGCAGAAUUCAGUGAAUCAUCGAAUCUUUGAACGCACAUUGCGCCUCCUGGUAUUCCGGGAGGCAUGCCUGUUCGAGCGUCAUUAAAUACCACUCAAGCUCUUCUGCUUGGUCAUGGAAGAAGAGUAUGCUUGCAUCCUCUCUUCUGAAAUCGAACGGCGGACUGCCUCAUGUGCCUCGCGUAGUAAGUUCAUCUUUUCGCUUGGAGUGUGAGAUAGUCUCGCCAUCAACCCCCAUACUUCUAAGGUUGACCUCGGAUCAGGUAGGGAUACCCGCUGAACUUAAGCAUAUCAAUAAGCGGAGGAA
rnacentral:misc_RNA from 1 species